rnacentral:rRNA from 1 species
CAGGCCUAACACAUGCAAGUCGAACGGGCCGCAAGGUCAGUGGCAAACGGGUGCGUAACGCGUAAGCAACCUGCCUCAAACUGGGGGAUAGCCCGGCGAAAGCGGGGGUAAACCCGCACGGUCCCAAGAGAUCACCUGGUUUUUUGGGUAAACAUUGAUGGGUUUGAGAGGGGCUUGCGUCUGAUUAGCUAGUUGGUGGGGUAAGGGCCCACCAAGGCGAUGAUCAGUAGGGGUUCUGAGAGGAUUGGCCCCCACAUGGGUACUGAGAGACGGACCCAACUCCUACGGGAGGCAGCAGUAGGGAAUAUUGGGCAAUGGGCGCAAGCCUGACCCAGCCAUGCCGCGUGCAGGAAGAAGGCUUUCUGAGUCGUAAACUGCUUUUGACAGGGAAGAAUAAGCGGGUCGUGACCAGUGAUGACGGUACCUGCAGAAUAAGCACCGGCUAACUCCGUGCCAGCAGCCGCGGUAA